CGACGAAUAUUGCACAAUGGGCGAAAGCCUGAUGCAGCGACGCCGCGUGUGGGAGGAAGCCCUUCGGGGUGUAAACCACUGUCAGGGACCAGCAAGCGACCGAGGCGAAUAGUCUCGGAAGUUGAGCAAUCCCAGAGGAAGUCACGGCUAACUUCGUGCCAGCAGCCGCGGUAAGACGAAGGUGGCAAGCGUUGUUCGGAAUCACUGGGCUUAAAGAGCAUGUAGGCGGACUGCCAAGCACUUUGUGAAAUCCCUCGGCUCAACCGAGGAAUUGCUUGGUGAACUGGUAGUCUUGAGGCAGGUAGGGGCACACGGAACUCUUGGUGGAGCGGUGGAAUGCGUAGAUAUCAAGAGGAACGCCAGAGGCGAAGGCGGUGUGCUGGGCCUGACCUGACGCUGAGAUGCGAAAGCCAGGGGAGCGAACG
rnacentral:rRNA from 1 species